AUUGAACGCUGGCGGCGUGCCUAAUACAUGCAAGUCGAACGGAGUGGCGCACGGGUGAGUAAUGUAUAGCUAAUCUGCCCUACACUAGAGGACAAUAGCUGGAAAAGGCUGCUAAUACUCUAUAGGUUAGGAUGAGGCUAGACUGUAUCAGCUAGUUGGUGAGGUAAGUGCUCUCCAAGGCUAUGACGCAUAACUGGUCUGAGUGGAUGAUCAGUCAAACUGGAAGUGAGACACGGUCCAGACUCCUACGGGAGGCAGCAGUAGGGAAUAUUACUCAAUGGGGGAAACCCAGAAGCAGCAACGCCGCGUGGAGGAUGACAGUUUUCGGAGCGUAAGCUCCGUUUGAUAGGGAAGCGGUACCUAACGAAUAAGCACCGGCUAACUCCGUGCCAGCAGCCGCGGUAAUUC
rnacentral:rRNA from 1 species